CCUACGGGGGGCAGCAGUGAGGAAUAUUGGUCAAUGGGCGCGAGCCUGAACCAGCCAAGUCGCGUGAGGGAAGACGGCCCUACGGGUUGUAAACCUCUUUUGCCGGGGAGCAACGGGCGCCACGUGUGGCGCCACUGAGAGUACCCGGAGAAAAAGCAUCGGCUAAAUCCGUGCCAGCAGCCGCGGUAAUACGGAGGAGGCGAGCGUUAUCCGGAUUUAUUGGGUUUAAAGGGUGCGUAGGCGGAGGGUUAAGUCAGUGGUGAAAUUGAGGGGCUUAACCCCUUAACGGCCAUUGAACUUGGCACUCUUGAGUGGAGUAGAGGUAUGCGGAAUGCGUGGUGUAGCGGUGAAAUGCAUAGAUAUCACGCAGAACCCCGAUUGCGAAGGCAGCAUGCCGGCUUCCGACUGACGCUGAGGCACGAAAGCGUGGGGAUCAAACAGGAUUAGAUACCCGAGUAGUC
rnacentral:rRNA from 1 species